UACGUAGGGUGCGAGCGUUGUCCGGAAUUAUUGGGCGUAAAGAGCUUGUAGGCGGUUUGUCGCGUCUGCUGUGAAAAUCCGGGGCUCAACCCCGGACUUGCAGUGGGUACGGGCAGACUAGAGUGUGGUAGGGGAGACUGGAAUUCCUGGUGUAGCGGUGGAAUGCGCAGAUAUCAGGAGGAACACCGAUGGCGAAGGCAGGUCUCUGGGCCACUACUGACGCGUAGAAGCGAAAGCAUGGGGAGCGAACAGG
rnacentral:rRNA from 1 species